GCAUUCUUGUUUUUGUUUAAAACAUAGUCUAUAGAGAAAAACCAAAAACACAAAAAAAUAUCAGCAAUACUUGAUUAACUAAAAAUAAAAGAUUAAAAGUCAUGAGUUAUAUUCUAGUCUAAAAUAUUUGAAAGGAUCGUAGUUGAAGAUGCACAUAUAUCCAGGAGAGCCACACAUUUUACUUAACCAGCAUAUAAAGAC
rnacentral:lncRNA from 1 species